rnacentral:rRNA from 1 species
UUGACCUCGGAUCAGGUAGGGAUACCCGCUGAACUUAAGCAUAUCAAUAAGCGGAGGAAAAGAAACCAACAGGGAUUGCCUCAGUAACGGCGAGUGAAGCGGCAAGAGCUCAAAUUUGAAAGCUGGCUCCUUCGGGGUCCGCAUUGUAAUUUGCAGAGGAUGCUUCGGUAGCGGCCCCCAUCUAAGUUCCCUGGAACGGGACGUCAUAGAGGGUGAGAAUCCCGUAUGGGAUGGGGUGCCCGCGACCAUGUGAAGCUCCUUCGACGAGUCGAGUUGUUUGGGAAUGCAGCUCUAAAUGGGUGGUAAAUUUCAUCUAAAGCUAAAUAUUGGCCGGAGACCGAUAGCGCACAAGUAGAGUGAUCGAAAGAUGAAAAGCACUUUGAAAAGAGAGUUAAAAAGCACGUGAAAUUGUUGAAAGGGAAGCGCUUGCGACCAGACUCGCCCGCGGGGUUCAGCCGGUAUUCGUACCGGUGUACUUCCCCGCGGGCGGGCCAGCGUCGGUUUGGGCGGCCGGUCAAAGGCCCUCGGAAUGUAACGCCUCUCGGGGCGUCUUAUAGCCGAGGGUGCCAUGCGGCCAGCCCGGACCGAGGAACGCGCUUCGGCACGGACGCUGGCAUAAUGGUCGUAAGCGACC